rnacentral:tRNA from 1 species
ACUCCUGUAGCCCAAUCGGAAGAGGCGGCUGUCUCAAAAACAGUCUUGUGCGGGUUCAAAUCCCACCAGGAGUA